AAGACGUUAGUAAAUAAAUUACCUAAUCUUGUCAAGAUUAAAUUAUAGGUUAACCCCUUUACGACUUAAU
rnacentral:tRNA from 1 species